rnacentral:rRNA from 1 species
CGAACGAAGCUCUUUCCUUCGGGAAGGAUGACUGAGUGGCAAACGGGUGAGUAACGCGUAGGGGAUCUACCUCCAGGAGGGGAAUAACCCACCGAAAGGCGGGCUAAUACCGCAUACGUCCACCGGAUCGGCCCGGUGGAGAAAGCUCCGGCGCCUGGAGAGGACCCUGCGUCCGAUUAGCUUGUUGGUGAGGUAACGGCUCACCAAGGCAACCAUCGGUAGCUGGUCUGAGAGGAUGGUCAGCCACACUGGGACUGAGAUACGGCCCAGACUCCUACGGGAGGCAGCAGCGAGGAAUCUUGCGCAAUGGGCGAAAGCCUGACGCAGCAACGCCGCGUGGGUGAAGAAGGCCUUCGGGUUGUAAAACCCUUUUGCCGGGGAAGAAGCUCUGACGGUACCCGGCGAAGAAGCCACGGCUAACUACGUGCCAGCAGCCGCGGUAAUACGUAGGUGGCAAGCGUUAUCCGGAUUUACUGGGCGUAAAGCGCGCGCAGGCGGUCCGGUCAGUCCGUCGUGAAAUCUCCCGGCUCAACCGGGAGGGGCCGAUGGAUACUGCCGGA